ensembl:snRNA U2 U2 spliceosomal RNA
AUUGCUUCUCGGCCUUUUGGCUAAGAUCAAAUGUAGUAUCUUCGAGAGAAAAAAAGUCACUGUUCAUUAUAAAAACUUUAAUGUAUACAGUAUAGUGAAGGUAAAGUAAUUUAAUUUUCUGUUGGUCACUACAU